rnacentral:rRNA from 1 species
UACGGAGGGUGCAAGCGUUGGUCGGAAUCACUGGGCGUAAAGCGCGUGUAGGCGGUUAGAUAAGUCGGAAGUGAAAGCCCGGGGCUUAACCACGGAAGGGCCUCCGAAACUGUCGAGCUUGAGUACGGGAGAGGGAAGCGGAAUUCCUGGUGUAGAGGUGAAAUUCGUAGAUAUCAGGAGGAACACCGGUGGCGAAGGCGGCUUCCUGGACAGAUACUGACGCUGAGACGCGAAAGCGUGGGGAGCAAACAGGAUUAGAUACCCGGGUAGUCC